GAUGAAGAACGUAGUGAAAUGCGAUAAGUAGUGUGAAUUGCAGAAUUCAGUGAAUCAUCGAAUCUUUGAACGCACAUUGCGCCCCUUGGUAUUCCAUGGGGCAUGCCUGUUCGAGCGUCAUUUGUACCUUCAAGCUCUGCUUGGUGUUGGGUGUUUGUCUCGCCUUUGCGUGUAGACUCGCCUUAAAACCAUUGGCAGCCGGCGUAUUGAUUUCGGAGCGCAGUACAUCUCGCGCUUUGCACUCAGAACGACGACGUCCAAAAGUACAUUUUUACACUCUUGACCUCGGAUCAGGUAGGGAUACCCGCUGAACUUAAGCAUAUCAAUAAGCGGAGGA
rnacentral:misc_RNA from 1 species